rnacentral:rRNA from 1 species
GACGAACGCUGGCGGCGUGCCUAAUACAUGCAAGUAGAACGCAGUUGCGAACGGGUGAGUAACGCGUAGGUAACUGCCUGGUAGCGGGGGUAACUAAUUGGAACGAUUGCUAAUUACGCCUACUACCAGAAUGACCUUGGUUGUAUUUGCUAGUUGGGGGGGUAACGGCCCAACAAGGCAACGAUACAUAGCCGACCUGGGAGGGUGAUCGGCCACACUGGGACUGAGAAACGGCCCAGACCCCUACGGGAGGCAGCAGUAGGGAAUCUUCGGAAAUGGACGGAAGUCUGACCGAGCAACGCCGCGGGAGUGAAGAAGGUUUUCGGAUCGUAAAGCUCUGUUGUAAGAGAAGCGGUAUCUGACCAGAAAGGGACGGCUAACUACGUGCCAGCAGCCGCGGUAAUAC